AUGGAAAGUUUGAGUGAAGAUGGUAUCCAAACACUGUGGCUGCUCUGCCUUCAAAAGUCAAGGAUUAUGCAAUCGGCCAAACGCACCAAGAAGUUCGGAAUCAUCAGUAAAUACGAGACCUCUAUGGGGCCUCGCUCUGGAAGAUGGUGAAGAAGAUCGAGAUCAGCAUGCCAAGUAUACUUGCUCCUUCUGUGACAAACCAAGAUGAAGAGACGCGCUGUGGGCACCUGGCACUGUGGUUCUUGCAUGAAAACAGUAGCUAGUGGAGCCUGGACCUACAAUACCACUUCUGCUGUCACGGUAAAGUCUUCCAUCAGAAGACUGAAGGAAUUGAAAGACCAGUAGAUGCUCCACCAUUUGAGACAUCACUAGCCUAUAAUAAAUGGCUUAAUAUAUGUAACCAAAAAAAAAAAAAAA